UCAGCACCUCCUUGUCGGCGG
rnacentral:misc_RNA from 1 species